rnacentral:rRNA from 1 species
CGGCCUUAGGGUUGUAAAGCACUUUCAGCAGUGAAGAUAAUGACAUUAACUGCAGAAGAAGCCCCGGCUAACUUCGUGCCAGCAGCCGCGGUAAUACGAAGGGGGCUAGCGUUGUUCGGAAUCACUGGGCGUAAAGCGUACGUAGGCGGACUGAUCAGUCAGGGGUGAAAUCCCGGGGCUCAACCCCGGAACUGCCUUUGAUACUGUCAGUCUUGAGAUCGAGAGAGGUGAGUGGAACUCCGAGUGUAGAGGUGAAAUUCGUAGAUAUUCGGAAGAACACCAGUGGCGAAGGCGGCUCACUGGCUCGAUACUGACGCUGAGGUACGAAAGCGUGGGGAGCAAACAGGAUUAGAUACCCUGGUAGUCCACGCCGUAAACGAUG